rnacentral:sRNA from 1 species
UGGUGAAUAUCCAUCUUUUCCAUGAUGCUUCCAAUCUGGUCGCCUGGGAAACAAGCCCUUCCGUGUACUCGGGAAUCCGGCACAAGGCCCUGGGCUACGUGCUGGAAAUCAUCGAUCAGCGAUUCGAGAAGGUUUCCUACUUUGUGUUUGGCGAUUUCAACUUCCGGCUGGAUUCCAAGUCCGUCGUGGAGACGCUCUGCACAAAAGCCACCAUGCAGACGGUCCGGGCUGCCGACACCAAUGAAGUGGUGAAGCUCAUAUUUCGUGAGUCGGACAACGACCGGAAGGUUAUGCUCCAGUUAGAAAAGAAACUCUUCGACUACUUCAACCAGGAGGUUUUCCGAGACAACAACGGCACCGCGCGCCAGUGUCUCUGCAGGAGCCGCGUGAGCCGCGGCCGGGACAGCCCCUGACAGAUGCCCAGGAUCAGCCGCUGCUUUGUCAUUGUCCACACGGCCCUGCCUGCCUUCACUUUGUAAUCAAGAAGAAUGUGGGAGACCGUGCGAAACUGGUGAUCAUGUUUGUGAAAAAUCUCAGAGAGAUACAAAUUAUCAAUUCAACA